rnacentral:rRNA from 1 species
UACGGAGGUCCCAAGCGUUACUGAGAAUCACUGGGUUUAAAGGGUGCGUAGGUGGUCCGUUAAGUUUGUUGUGAAAUCCCCGGGCUCAACCCGGGAAUUGCUUCGAAUACUGGCGGACUUGAGGCCUGUAGGGGUCACUGGAACAGACGGUGGAGCGGUGAAAUGCGUAGAUAUCGUCUGGAACGCCUGUGGUGAAGACGGGUGACUGGGCAGGUUCUGACACUGAGGCACGAAAGCGUGGGGAGCGAACGGG